GACCCCAGGUCAGGCGGGACUACCCGCUGAGUUUAAGCAUAUCGAUAAGCGGAGGAAAAGAAACUUACAAGGAUUCCCCUAGUAACGGCGA
rnacentral:rRNA from 1 species